CCUACGGGCGGCAGCAGUGGGGAAUAUUGCACAAUGGGCGAAAGCCUGAUGCAGCAACGCCGCGUGAGCGAUGAAGGUCUUAGGGUCGUAAAGCUCUGUUCUCAAGGAAGAUAAUGACGGUACUUGAGGAGGAAGCCCCGGCAAACUACGUGCCAGCAGCCGCGGUAAUACGUGGGGGGCUAGCGUUAUCCGGAAUUACUGGGCGUAAAGGGUGCGUAGGUGGUUUCUUAAGUCAGAGGUAAAAGGCUACGGCUCAACCGAAGUAAGCCUUUGAAACUGGGGAUCUUGAGUGCAGGAGAGGAGAGUGGAAUUCCUGGUGUAGCGGUGAAAUGCGUAGAUAUUAGGAGGAACACUAGUUGCGAAGGCG
rnacentral:rRNA from 1 species